rnacentral:snoRNA from 1 species
UUGACGAGGACUCGCAGCGCGGAUCUGUGACGAGGAACCGGGUUCCGA